GCCUACGGGAGGCAGCAGUGAGGAAUAUCGGUCAAUGGUCGGGAGACUGAACCAGCCAAGCCGCGUGAGGGAUGAAGGUACAGAGUAUCGUAAACCUCUUUUGUCAGGGAACAAAGGCGGGGACGCGUCCCCGGAUGAGUGUACCUGAAGAAAAAGCAUCGGCUAACUCCGUGCCAGCAGCCGCGGUAAUACGGAGGAUGCGAGCGUUAUCCGGAUUUAUUGAGUUUAAAGGGUGCGCAGGCGGUCUGUUAAGUCAGCGGUCAAAGCCCGGGGCUCAACCCCGGCCCGCCGUUGACACUGGCAGU
rnacentral:rRNA from 1 species